rnacentral:rRNA from 1 species
AUUGAACGCUGGCGGCAUGCUUUACACAUGCAAGUCGAACGGUAACAGGGUGCUUGCACCGCUGACGAGUGGCGAACGGGUGAGUAAUACAUCGGAAUGUACCCAGUAAUGGGGGAUAACGCGUCGCAAGGAGUGCUAAUACCGCAUACGCCCUGAGGGGGAAAGUGGGGGACCGCAAGGCCUCACGUUCUUGGACCAGCCGAUGGCCGAUUAGCUAUUUGGUGAGGUAAAGGCUCACCAAGGCGACGAUCAGUAGCGGGUCUUAGAGGACGAUCCGCCACACUGGGACUGAGACACGGUCCAGACUCCUACGGGAGGCAGCAGUGGGGAAUCUUGGACAAUGGGCGAAAGCCUGAUCCAGCAAUGCCGCGUGCGUGAAGAAGGCCUUCGGGUUGUAAAGCGCUUUUGUCUGGGAGCAAAUCCUAGCCUCUAAUACAGGUCGGGGAUGAGAGUACCAGAAGAAUAAGGACCGGCUAACUACGUGCCAGCCGCCGCAGUAA